GUUACAAGAGUACAUGGAGGAAGUGGAGGCAGGAAGGCAAGCGGGCGUUAAACAAUGAGGAACACUGCUCACUGGCGCCCUCUGGCGCCUGCUCAGCUAGCUUUCUUCUAUAGCCCUGCCCACCUGCCCAGGGACAGUGCCACCCACAGGAAGCUGUACCCUCCUGCACCAAUCAAAACAAUCUUUCACUGACGUGGCCACAGAGCUACCCAAUUGAGGGAGUUCUUCAUUUGGCUGCAGGUUGCAUCAAAUUAGACUGGUCAGCCUUUUCUUGGAUGAAGUAACAGUUUUCAGGCUCCAAGGCCUGGGCCACUGUGACCUGGUGUGAGAGGAAGUACACGAAACGCUACUCAGUGUCUCCUCUGCAAUGGAAAGGGACUUGGUCCCACUCACAUGCACAAGUGACUGGCGGCUUGACUUGGUAUCUUGGCACUCCUGGUGACUGUCUGGGAAAAGCUAAAGCCGCUUUCACAGUUCCAGUGUCUCCAAGCAAUCUCUUUGGAUUCGGAACCUGUCACAGAGAGGAUGAAGCCACUCAGAGCAGCAGAACCUUCAAGAUCCGAUCUCCUCUCCAAAGACCACCAGAGGACAAGACAAGACCACAGGAAAAGGUGGGUUCCAGGAAUCGGGUGUGAAGUGAUGUCUCAGUGGGGUUUUACCAUCUCCACCCCCCCUCCCACCACCAGCGAUUACUGAUGAGCGGAGCACUGGUGUUAGCGGUCACAUGUCUUCCUUUGAGAUAUGCUAUUCACAUCUUUUGAGUGGCUUUUCUUCUCUGUACAUUGCUGGGACUGGGCCUGCCAGGCAAGUGGCUCUACCACUAGGCUGCAUCCCAGGCCCUUUGCUCCUUUUAAUUGGGCUGUUUGUUUUCUCAAGAUGGAGUUGUUUGAAUUCCUUAUGUUAUUUAUAGAUAGGAAGAAAAGCCAAAGAGUAGGAAAGCCCUCUCUGCGUUGUGCUGAAUUUAAAUUCCAAGCAUAUUCCUAUUUUAAGUUUUGCUACUUCUGUGUUUACUUGAUUUGAUUUAAUUUUGAUUUUGUAGCGCUGGGGUUUGAACCCAGAGCCUCACACAUGCCAAGCAAGUGCUCUAUUACUGAGCUAUCAUCACCGAAGCUGUUUCCACUUUGACCUGUUGCUUGUGGAUGAAUUCCCUCAUCACCCUGCCCCAUCUUAGCCCUCCAGUUCAAAUUCCAAUUAUUUGUCUGCUCCUUGGCUUUCUGAUGCCACUUUCUGUUUCAAACAUUCCUUUCCCCUUUCCUAUCGUGGCAAUCCUGAGACUCCAGAUUCCCUCUUUUGCAUUCUUAAACAGCACCCCACAGCGCCUACUCCACAAAGCGGGCACCUUUCCCUUGCUAUGUGCCCAGCUGCUGCAUUAUAGUGACAGGGAGCUCAAAGGAGCUGUUGACACCCAUGGGCUUACAUUUGCAAUGGGCUUGGAAGCUGAGAGAAAAUACCAGAAGGAAGUAAGUGCUUUCUCUUGUCCUUCUUCCUUUCUACUUCUUAGAUUCCUUGGGGCCAACUUUUGGGUCACUGUUUGACUCUAAGUUAAAUCACCACAUGCCCACAAUCAGACCAGCAGUCCUGCAACACCACACACAGUUCCAGGCACACAGCUUACAGAGAUGAAGAAGAUGCAACCUUGGGUCUCAAAGAGUUAAUCACC
rnacentral:sRNA from 1 species